rnacentral:tRNA from 1 species
UGGGGAAUGGUGCAAUGGCAGCACACCUGACUCUGGAUCAGGCGAUCGGGGUUCGAGUCCCUGUUCCCCAGCCA